UAUUAAUCCAACAUCAGCAGCAUGUUUUCAGAGAUGGACAGGACUCCUAGAAUGGGGGAAUGAGCAACUGAAGACUUAUGCGUUAAAUCCCCACCAAAUGGAAAAUGCCAACUGCUAUCACAUAGACCUCGGAGAAGGAAGACCUGGGGACUGAACUCUGGUCUCUGUUCUUCAUUCUGCAUUUCUUCCUGAGGGGCCUGGAGAGAAUCACACCCUUGGGCCAAACCAAUGUCUAACCUCCAUGUAUUGAUUUAUGAUUUUUCCUACAACUUCUGCUCUCCUGGAAUUGUCUGGCUUUCCUGCACUGGGCAAGAAGACCCCAGUUUGGUUUGGUGGCAGCUGUUUAUAUAAAACUUCCUGAAAUCCCCCCA
rnacentral:lncRNA from 1 species